rnacentral:misc_RNA from 1 species
CGCACCUUGCGCCCUCUGGUAUUCCGGAGGGCAUGCCUGUUUGAGUGUCAUGUAGACUCAAUCCCUCGGGUUUCCGAGGAGAUUGGACUUGGGUGUUGCCGCUCUGCCGGCUCGCCUUAAAAGACUUAGCGGGAUAGCACCGUAGUCGGCGUAAUAAGUUUCGUCGGUGAAGGUUGUGAUGACUGCUUACAAUCGCCCUCGGGCAAUUUUUGACUCUGACCUCAAAUCAGGUAGGACUACCCGCUGAACUUAA